AUUGAACGCUGGCGGCAGGCUUAACACAUGCAAGUCGAGCGGAGCGAGGGUGCUUGCACCUUAGCUUAGCGGCGGACGGGUGAGUAAUGCUUAGGAAUCUGCCUAUUAGUGGGGGACGACAUUCCGAAAGGAAUGCUAAUACCGCAUACGCCCUACGGGGGAAAGCAGGGGAGCUUCGGACCUUGCUCUAAUAGAUGAGCCUAAGUCGGAUUAGCUAGGUGGUGGGGUAAAGGCCUACCAAGGCGACGAUCUGUAGCGGGUCUGAGAGGAUGAUCGGCCACACUGGGACUGAGACACGGCCCAGAUUCCUACGGGAGGCAGCAGUGGGGAAUAUUGGACAAUGGGCGGAAGCCUGAUCCAGCCAUGCCGCGUGUGUGAAGAAGGCCUUUUGGUUGUAAAGCACUUUAAGCGAGGAGGAGGCUACUUAGAUUAAUACUCUGGGAUAGUGGACGUUACUCGCAGAAUAAGCACCGGCUAACUCUGUGCCAGCCGCCGCCGUAA
rnacentral:rRNA from 1 species